AUUGAACGCUGGCGGCAGGCCUAACACAUGCAAGUCGAGCGGAUGACGGGAGCUUGCUCCUUGAUUCAGCGACGGACGGGUGAGUAAUGCCUAGGAAUCUGCCUGGUAGUGGGGGACAACGUUUCGAAGGAACGCUAAUACCGCAUACGUCCUACGGGAGAAAGCAGGGGACCUUCGGGCCUUGCGCUAUCAGAUGAGCCUAGGUCGGAUUGGCUAGUUGGUGGGGUAAUGGCUCACCAAGGCGACGAUCCGUAACUGGUCUGAGAGGAUGAUCAGUCACACUGGAACUGGGACACGGUCCAGACUCCUACGGGAGGCAGCAGUGGGGAAUAUUGGACAAUGGGCGAAAGCCUGAUCCAGCCAUGCCGCGUGUGUGAAGAAGGUCUUCGGAUUGUAAAGCACUUUAAGUUGGGAGGAAGGGCAGUAAGCUAAUACCUUGCUGUUUUGACGUUACCGACAGAAUAAGCACCGGCUAACUCUGUGCCAGCCGCCGCGGUAA
rnacentral:rRNA from 1 species